rnacentral:rRNA from 1 species
GAUGAACGCUGGCGGCGUGCCUAACACAUGCAAGUCGAGCGAGAUGUUUCCAUAUGAGGCUUCGGCGGAUUAUGGAGACGGAAAGCGGCGGACGGGUGAGUAACGCGUAGGUAACCUGCCCCAUACAGAGGGAUAGCCACUGGAAACGGUGAUUAAUACCUCAUAAGACUGAGGAUACACAUGUAUCUGCGGCCAAAGAUUUAUCGGUAUGGGAUGGACCUGCGUCUGAUUAGCUAGUUGGUGGGGUAACGGCUCACCAAGGCGACGAUCAGUAGCCGACCUGAGAGGGUGAUCGGCCACAUUGGAACUGAGACACGGUCCAAACUCCUACGGGAGGCAGCAGUGGGGAAUAUUGCACAAUGGGCGCAAGCCUGAUGCAGCAACGCCGCGUGAUCGAUGAAGGCCUUUGGGUUGUAAAGAUCUGUUCUGAGGGAAGAAAAAUGACGGUACCUCAGGAGAAAG